UCUCCGUAGGUGAACCUGCGGAGGGAUCAUUACUGAGUGAGGGCUUCGGUCCGACCUCCAACCCUUUGUGAACCAAACUUGUUGCUUCGGGGGCGACCCUGCCGGCACUCGGUCGCCGGGCGCCCCCGGAGGCUCACUAAACACUGCAUCUUUGCGUCGGAGUCUUAAUGAAUGUAAACAAAACUUUUAACAACGGAUCUCUUGGUUCUGGCAUCGAUGAAGAACGCAGC
rnacentral:misc_RNA from 1 species